rnacentral:misc_RNA from 1 species
AGAGCAGUAUCUCGAACCUGAACUGGCAACCCAUAUUCUAGAUCCAAAAGACAGACUUGACAAACAUUUUUCAACUUGCUGCAAGUUUGGCAAAUCUCAGACUUCUUAAAUCUUGCAUCCCGACCAGGCCUCCACCUAAAAACUGUAAAUGGCCGCGUACAUAUCUUGCAUUCCUUAUCAAAUUCAGCUCUAGUCAUACGAACAUAAGGAUUGUCACCAAGGCAAGACUCACAGAUGAUAGGAAAAUCAGAACGCUCCCAACCAUCUGCCUCAAGAUCUCUUAACAAUCGGUGUGCCAUUUCCUCUUGAGCCCUAGCUUAGGUUAAAUCUUCACUAUGCCUAUUCCUUUAAUUUAUCCGAAUCCGAACUGAAAGUUCUAAUUUGUUAGUUAGGGUUCAGCUGACUCUCUAAGAUGCUGGGAUAAGGUGAGAAAUGACUAAUUAACCAAUUUGGGGAGAAAGAAAUUUAGGGUUAGUAUUUUUAGUUUGCGAGCUCCCAGUUUGGAAGUCG